rnacentral:rRNA from 1 species
GGCUCAGGACGAACGCUGGCGGCGCGCCUAAUACAUGCAAGUCGAGCGAGAAGGUGUAGCAAUACACUUGUAAAGCGGCGAACGGGUGAGGAAUGCAUGGGUAACCUACCCUCGAGUGGGGAAUAACUAGCCGAAAGGUUAGCUAAUACCGCAUACGUUUCCGGGACUUCGGUUCCGGAAGGAAAGCAAUACCGUGGGUAUUGCGCUCAUGGAUGGGCUCAUGUCCUAUCAGCUUGUUGGUGAGGUAACGGCUCACCAAGGCUUCGACGGGUAGCUGGUCUGAGAGGACGAUCGGCCACACUGGCACUGCGACACGGGCCAGACUCCUACGGGAGGCAGCAGUAAGGAAUAUUGCGCAAUGGACGAAAGUCUGACGCAGCGACGCCGCGUGGGGGAUGAAGGUCUUCGGAUUGUAAACCCCUUUCGGGAGGGAAGAUGGAGUGGGUAACCACUUGGACGGUACCUCCAGAAGCAGCCACGGCUAACUUCGUGCCAGCAGCCGCGGUAAUACGAAGGUGGCAAGCGUUGUUCGGAUUCACUGGGCGUACAGGGAGCGUAGGCGGUUGGGUAAGUCCUCCGUGAAAUCUCCGGGCCUAACCCGGAAAGUGCAGAGGGGACUGCUCAGCUAGAGGAUGGGAGAGGAGCGCGGAAUUCCCGGUGUAGCGGUGAAAUGCGUAGAGA